rnacentral:rRNA from 1 species
UACGGAGGAAGCAAGCGUUAUCCGGAAUUACUGGGCGUAAAGAGUUGCGUAGGUGGCAAAGUGUGCUAGUAGUAGAAGAGUGUGCUCAACCAUAUAAACUUACUGUAAACUGCUUAGCUAGAGGACGAGAUGAGGUUAUUGGAAUUCCCAGUGUAGGAGUGAAAUCCGUAGAUAUUGGGAGGAACACCGAUGGCGUAGGCAGAUAACAUGGGCUCGUUACCUGACACGUAAGGCACGGAAAGCGUGGGGACGCAAACGGG